rnacentral:rRNA from 1 species
UACGGAAGGUGCAAACGUUGUUCGGAAUUACUGGGCGUAAAGCGCGUGUAGGCUGCUUCGCAAGUCGGAUGUGAAAGCCCUGGGCUCAACCCAGGAAGUGCAUUCGAAACUGCAGAGCUGGAGUCCUGGAGAGGAAGGCGGAAUUCUCGGUGUAGAGGUGAAAUUCGUAGAUAUCGAGAGGAACACCGGUGGCGAAGGCGGCCUUCUGGACAGUGACUGACGCUGAGACGCGAAAGCGUGGGGAGCAAACAGG